ACUAAUGAAAUGCAUAUGUUGAAAUGUGUUUGUGAAGAGUGAUGCAAGGGUUUGGGGAUCAGGGGAUUUGUGAGGUGAUGCAUGAAGUGCAGUGAAGUCAUAGGCUGCUGCUCAGCAGAGAUAGCUGGCAGUAUCUCAGGCUGAGCAAAGGACUAUCUUCCACUUGGUCAUAUAAACCAGCAUUCCCUGCCAAGAACAAGAGACAGCCUCCAGUGACUCCAUCAGCCAGUGAGUAAAGAGAUUUUGGUAGGAAGUCUGAAUCUGGAUGCCUUUACUUUUAACCAGCACUACACUAUUCUCAAGGGAGCCCUACAGGACUGGUGAGAGAAACUUGUACAUGACAA